CUUACACCCAAAGGGCGGAUAAGGGAAGAGGAUACAGAUCCCGCGGACGCAACAGAUACCCAACAGGUGAGAUUUCCUACCUUUCACCUUUCUACUGUUUAUCAUGCAGGCAGGUUGUCACACUGUGUAGACAUGUGGAAGACACUGUCUUCAGAUACCUGGGUCCUAAACACAGUUCAGGGUUAUUACAUAGAGUUUCACUCUCCCCCUUCUCAAAUAGAUUAUCCUCACUAUCCAAAAAUGUCAAAGUCUCAGAGUCUUCUUCUAGAUUCAGAACUACGUUCUCUUCUAACAAAAGGAGCGAUUCAACUCGCUCCACUAGACGAAGGUUUCCUCAGCUCCAUCUUCUUAGUCAAGAAGAAAUCAGGGGACUUUCACCCAGUAAUCAACCUCCGUCAACUGAACUCUUUUGUUAUUUACAGACAUUUCAAAAUGGAAGGGAUUCAUCUCCUCAGAGACAUUCUCCGACCAGGCGAUUGGUUCACUCGUCUCGACCUCAAGGACGCUUACCUCUCGGUACCAGUACACCCAUCCAGUCAGCGUUUUCUCUGCUUUCUUUGGCACCAUCGGAUUUUCCAAUUCACCUGCCUUCCAUUCGGCCUGAGUUCCGCCCCGUGGUGCUUCACCAAACUGCUCAAACCAGUCACCGCACAUCUUCGAGAAAGCGGCAUUCGUUGUUUGAUCUACCUCGACGACCUCUUGCUUCUCUGCGUUCACAGACGAACUAUACAUCUGUAUUGAUCGAAUCCUUGGGGUUUGUCAUAAACCAAGAGAAAUCGUCACUGUCCCCAUCCAGAGUUAUUCAAUUUCUCGACUUCGAGAUCGACUCUUCAACCUGUGUUCUUCGCCUACCUCAAUCCAAGUUAACUGCGAUCAGGAAGGAACUACGCAAAACACUUCGUCAAGAGGAUUUACCUCUCCGAGGUUUAGCUCGAAUCGUAGUCCUACUUUCUGCUUCUAUUCAGGCAAUCUACCCAGGCCCCCUUCACUACCGGGCCAUGCAACGCUUGAAAGCUCAAUUCCUCCGGACUCAUCCAUCAUACGACCAGAGGGUCCCGAUCACCACGGAGGUGAGGGAGGAACUCUUUUGGUGGCUCCGCCACAUGUCGGCCUGGAACGGCAAGGCAAUUUUCGGUCCUACCCCGGACUAUGUAGUGGAAUCAGAUGCGAGUCUCCAGGGUUGGGGUGCAACCUGUCAUACAACCUCCACCAGAGAACCAUGGACCACCUCAGAACACUUUCUCCACAUCAAUUGUCUGGAGUUAAUCGCAGGCUCGUUCGCAAUUCGCAGUUUGACCAAUCAUCUCUCAAACUGCUGUAUUCUCCUUCGGAUGGACAAUAUCUCAGCUGUCCAAUACAUCAACAAAUUGGGCGGGGCCAGAUCCCGCAUCCUCUCCGAAGUGACAAAAGACAUCUACGAGUUUUGCUUCCGACGCAACAUCUCACUUCGAGCGGAAUAUCUCCCAGGGGAAUCGAACAUCACCGCGGAUUGGUUCUCCCAACAUUGGAGAGACGGCUGCGACUGGCGCCUACACAGAACAAUCUUCCUCCACAUCUCCAGACUCAGGGGCCCGUUUACCCUAGACCUAUUCGCCUCCCGGACGAAUUUUCAAGUUCCACGGUUUUUCAGCUGGCUUCCAGACCCAGAAUGUUUAGCUGUAGAUGCCUUCCUUCAGAGUUGGCCGACGACGGGAGCCUAUGCUUUUCCUCCGUUUGCGAUGAUUCCCAGAGUUCUCCUUCAGAUUCGCAGACAACAGAUCACACUUGUACUACUCACCCCGCUCUGGCGGGGCAAAGCUUGGUUUCCGGAUCUUCUGGACCUCUCCUGCCAGGAGCCCCUCCUUCUGCCUCCAUGGCCCAAUCUCCUAGAGGACCCUCAAGGGAACCCUCAUCCAAUGGUAAAACAAGGCCACCUCCACCUUGUAGCCUGGACUCUUUCAGGGGAACCUGGCACUUCGGAGGACUAUCGCAGAGAUCUAAAGAACUCCUCUGGGAUUCGUGGGCCCCUGGAACUAGAAGAUGCUAUCUUUCCUCCUGGAACGCUUGGUGCAAUUGGUGCCUGGAAUGGAAUACCGAUCCCCUUACGGCCCCUAGACAGUUCAUUUUGAAUUUCCUCUCUCAUCUAUUCGAUCUAGGCCGUUCCUACAGAUCCAUCAACGUUUCCCGUUCAGCCAUCUCGGCAGCCCAUGUUCCUCUAGACGGAGUUCCGGUGGGCCAGGACAAGCUGGUUUGUAGACUAUUGCGGGGCAUCAAACUGGCUCGCCCCCCUAAACCAAAAUACUCCCAUCUGUGGGACGUUAAUGUCAUGAUUCGUUUCCUCGAGACCUGGCCGAACAACGAAGAUCUAUCCCUCCGUCAACUCUCGGCAAAAUUCACCCUAUUACUUUGCUUAGUGUCCUUCCGACGAGUGUCGGAUGUUCGAGCAUUUGACCAUGACGCUAUCAACUUUUCCCCAGAGGGUGUCACCUUUUCCGUGUCCAGACGGACAAAAUCAAACUCCUCUUCUAUAUUUUACCCUUACUUCCCUAACCACCCGAAACUGUGUGUGGUAUCUCUUCUUUCUCGUUAUUUGUUACUCACCUCCUCUCUUCGUCCAACGUCUUCCAGCCAACUAUUGGUCUCAUACGUCCGUCCACAUAAUCCAGUGUCAACCAAAACCCUUGCCCGAUGGGUUAGGUGGUUGCUCUCCCUAGCCGGGAUUGAAGCCUCCUUCGGAGCCCACUCCAUCAGAGGAGCGGCAGCAUCGGGGGCAUUCAGCGCUGGAGCCUCGCUUCGAGACAUUCUUCAAUCCGCAGACUGGUCCCGAGAACAGACGUUCCGCAACUUCUAUUUUAGUCCGGCUGUGCACGCUUCCUUGGCCCUUCUUGGGGAGCGUUAAAACAGCAAAUACGAAGCCUCCUGUCAUGUUAUAAAAUUUUAGAUUAUGCUAGCUUUAGUGUACCUAUAAUCUUAAUUUUAUUAAUGACAGGAGGCGAGUAUUUCCCACCACUUUUACUUUCGUUUUUUCCCACCCUAGGGUCGCCCCUGUAGGUAAGUUUCUAAGACAAGAACGAACACACUAUGCCUACUACCAUGGGGGUUAGGAGUUAUUUUUCUAUGAUGUAUAGAUUAACUUUUCUAGCGAGCUAUAAUAUAUGUUUCAUAUCAACUAGUUAUCAUAAUUUCAAAGUCCAAUUCACGGAUUAAUCCUUGGUUUCGACUCUGCUCUCUCGUUUCAGCGUAAAACUCCCUUAAGAGGUCGAGCCUAGUUGCUGCUCCAUCACAAGCUUCACCUCUACUCCUCAAGAUCUCAGUCUACGUUCCUGUUUCCCUCUCAAGCAUCACUCUUCUCGUCUGGCAUCCUGAAUCCCUCAUCUGGUUCCUUCAGUUCCGGUUCCUAUGUGUUCG
rnacentral:lncRNA from 1 species